rnacentral:misc_RNA from 1 species
UAUGAAGAUUAAGGUGGUGGCACCGCCAGAAAGGAAGUACAGCGUCUGGAUAGGAGGCUCCAUUUUGGCAUCCCUCAGCACCUUCCAGCAGGUAUUGUGCCCAUUUUUGUUUUCAGACUACAAACAGAAUUGAGCUUUAACCCCUGAUUCUAAAAAUAUGAAUCUUUUUAUUGUCAUGUUCAUGUUGAGUGAUAUUCGCUGGUACACACUUUAUUGUAUGCUUAAGAACAAUAUGUGAUAAUUAGCAUCUAAUUAGUAGUUUUUGGUGGCAGACAGCAUGUUUGCCAAAAACAUUGCUAAAACUUAAAACCAUUAGGUCAUGAGCCACUUUAGUGUUAUGAAUGUGAAUCAAGUCCACUCUUUGGCUGUGCUGAUCUGAUUGGAGAAACUUCUUGUUCUUUUUGAGUGCAGAUGUGG